GGGAAGUUCUUCGGAACCUUU
rnacentral:misc_RNA from 1 species